ACACUUUGACUUGACAACAGAUUAAAAAACCUUUAUUUACCCACUUUAUUAAGAUACAUUAUAUACAAUAAAGGCAAUAAUAUACAAGGAAUCUAUGGUACGAAUAUGCUAUAAUUUACAAUAGUUUUGGUUAAGAUAGCAUCAGCUAAGGGAAAUGGAAAUCAAUUUACCGAUUUUAGCGCUAAUGAAAAUGGUUUUGGAUGCAUCCAAAACCAAUCCCUAGACAAAUGCAAACAAAUUAGGCAAUUCAUAGCUCAUGAGAAUGGUUUUGGAUGCGUCCAAAACCAAACCUAUAGGAAAAUGCAAAUCAAUUUACCGAUUUUAGCGCCAAGGAAAAUGGUUUUGGAUACAUCCAAAACCAAUCCCUAGACAAAUGCAAACAAAUUAGGCAAUUUAUAGCUCAUGAGAAUGGUUUUGGACGCGUCCAAUACCAACCCUGUAGGAAAAUGCAAAUCAAUUUGCCGAUAUGUCCAAAACUAUCCUAGAGAAAUGCAAACCAAUUCGCUGAUUUUAGCAAAAAAUCUCCAGACAAAUGAAAACAAAUCAGCCGAUUUUGGUGCGUUUGGAAAUGGUUUUAGAUGCAUCCAAAAUCAAUCUCUAAACAAGUGCAAACAAAUUGACCAAUUUAUAGCUCAUGAGAAUGGUUUUGGACGCGUCCAAAACCAACCCUGCGGAAAAUGCAAAUCAAUUCACCAAUUUACCGAUUUUAGCGCUAGUGAAAAUGGUUUUGGAUGCAUCUAAAACCAAUCUCUAGACAAAUUAGCCAAUUUAUAGCUCAUGAGAAUGGUUUCGGACGCGUCCAAAACCAACCCUGCGAGAAAAUGCAAAUCAAUUGACCAAUAUGUCCAAAACUAUCCUGGAGAAAUGCAAACCAAUUCGCUGAUUUUAGCAAAAAAUCCCCAGACAAAUGAAAACAAAUCAGCCGAUUUUAGUGCUUUUGAAAAUGGUUUUAGAUGCGUCCAAAACCAAUCCCUAGACAAAUUUGCCAAUGUAUAGCUCAUCAGAAUGGUUUUGGAUGCGUCCAAAACCAACCCUGCAGGAAAAUGCAAAUCAAUUCACCAAUUUUAGCGCUAAUGAAAAUGGUUUUGGAUGCAUCUAAACCAAUCU